UCGAUAAUUAAUCACUAAUGUGUUAUUUAUCUGCUAAAGUCUGUUUCUGUUUAAAUCUGUUGGACGUUUUCACUUCCUUAUUUCCAUCCCCGUUGCUGCCCUCAGUUUGACCUUACAGGUGCCUUAAAAAGUUGAAUUGUUAUUUGUCCUGAUUCCCUCCUGAAUUGUGUUCCUCUACCUGUGAGCAAACUCUACAAGCCGCCACACUCCAAGACUGGGUCAAAGGUGAAAAAGACAAUUCCAGGUCAGGAAUGCAGCUGCUCUCAGCGUGAAGUCAACUGCGUUAGAGUCUGUGCAUUCUCAACGCAGCCAGGAGUCUAAACCAUCAAUGAAGCAGACAAACCUUCAGGACUACACACACCUGAACGCCCCCAACGUAUCCACACAUUCCCUUUAACUGUCUUAAUUCUUAAAAAAGAGAUUCAUAUCUAGUUUAUGACCAAGCUCAUUAUGCAUGACCUUUGAAACAUUGUUUUGGUGUAACUAGAAUUUUUGCCCAAAUUUCAGCCUGAGAGAAUUGGACAACUAAGACGUGAAAAUAUCCUUAUUUAUGAUUCAUGAUUACUUAAAUAAAG